UGGCGGACGGGUGAGUAAUGUCUGGGAAACUGCCUGAUGGAGGGGAAUAACUACUGGAAACGGUAGCUAAUACCGCAUAACGUCGCAAGACCAAAGAGGGGGACCUUCGGGCCUCUUGCCAUCGGAUGUGCCCAGAUGGGAUUAGCUAGUAGGUGGGGUAACGGCUCACCUAGGCGACGAUCCCUAGCUGGUCUGAGAGGAUGACCAGCCACACUGGAACUGAGACACGGUCCAGACUCCUACGGGAGGCAGCAUG
rnacentral:rRNA from 1 species